GAGUUUGAUCAUGGCUCAGAUUGAACGCUGGCGGCAGGCCUAACACAUGCAAGUCGAGCGGAAACGAUCCUAGCUUGCUAGGAGGCGUCGAGCGGCGGACGGGUGAGUAAUGCAUAGGAAUCUGCCCGGUAGUGGGGGAUAACUUGAGGAAACUCAAGCUAAUACCGCAUACGCCCUACGGGGGAAAGCAGGGGCUCUUCGGACCUUGCGCUAUCGGAUGAGCUUAUGUCGGAUUAGCUAGUUGGUGAGGUAAUGGCUCACCAAGGCGACGAUCCGUAGCUGGUCUGAGAGGAUGAUCAGCCACAUCGGGACUGAGACACGGCCCGAACUCCUACGGGAGGCAGCAGUGGGGAAUAUUGGACAAUGGGGGCAACCCUGAUCCAGCCAUGCCGCGUGUGUGAAGAAGGCCCUCGGGUUGUAAAGCACUUUCAGCGAGGAAGAAUGCUUGUCGGUUAAUACCCGGCAAGGGAGACAUCACUCGCAGAAGAAGCACCGGCUAACUCCGUGCCAGCAGCCGCGGUAAUACGGAGGGUGCGAGCGUUAAUCGGAAUUACUGGGCGUAAAGCGUGCGUAGGCGGCUUGAUAAGCCGGUUGUGA
rnacentral:rRNA from 1 species